rnacentral:lncRNA from 1 species
AUUGAAAUGAAGGGUCUAACUUAACUAAAAUAUUAUAGCUUGUUGUGUUAACACAAGGCUAAUAAUAUUUUAGAGACCAAGAUAUAAUAUUAAAAAUUGCAUGAGAUGCAAUUGAAAAGAGUUUCCUACCUAUGAACUCAUAAGGGUUUGUUGUGUUAACACAAGAUCAUUAUGAGGAAUUAGGAUCUCAAUCCCACUA